rnacentral:rRNA from 1 species
AUUGAACGCUGGCGGCAUGCUUUACACAUGCAAGUCGAACGGUAACAGGCCUUCGGGUGCUGACGAGUGGCGAACGGGUGAGUAAUGCAUCGGAACGUACCCAGAGGUGGGGGAUAACGCAGCGAAAGCUGUGCUAAUACUGCAUGUGAUCUGAGGAUGAAAGCGGGGGACCGAGCAGCAAUGUUUGGCCUCGCGCCUUUGGAGCGGCCGAUGUCGGAUUAGCUAGUUGGUGGGGUAAAGGCCUACCAAGGCGACGAUCCGUAGCUGGUCUGAGAGGACGACCAGCCACACUGGGACUGAGACGCGGCCCAGACUCCUACGGGAGGCAGCAGUGGGGAAUUUUGGACAAUGGGCGCAAGCCUGAUCCAGCAAUGCCGCGUGCGGGAAGAAGGCCUUCGGGUUGUAAACCGCUUUUGGCAGGAACGAAACGGUGUCCGCUAAUACCGGGCGCUAAUGACGGUACCGGCAGAAUAAGCACCGGCUAACUACGU